rnacentral:tRNA from 1 species
AGAGACUUAAGUUAAAUAAACUAAAAGCCUUCAAAGCUUUAAAUGGAAGUGAAAGCCUUCCAGACUCUA